GACGAACGCUGGCGGCGUGCCUAACACAUGCAAGUCGAGCGAAUGAAGUUCCUUCGGGAAUGGAUUUAGCGGCGGACGGGUGAGUAACACGUGGGCAACUUGCCUCAUAGAGGGGAAUAGCCUUCCGAAAGGGGAGAUUAAUACCCGCAUAAGAUUGUAGUACCGCAUGGUACAGCAAUUAAAGGAGCAAUCCGCUAUGAGAUGGGCCCGCGGCGCAUUAGCUAGUUGGUGAGGUAACGGCUCACCAAGGCGACGAUGCGUAGCCGACCUGAGACGGGUGAUCGGCCACAUUGGGACUGAGACACGGCCCA
rnacentral:rRNA from 1 species